rnacentral:antisense_RNA from 1 species
AAGUCAGGAUCACCAGGCUUUGUGGCUUCAAGGAGGCCAAAUCACCAUGGGCUUGCUUGGGCUUGGAGGUGCGACCUGGUGGGCCUGCAGAAUGCGACUUGGUGGCCUGACUGAGCAGCACGUGAGGGCCUGGUGCAGCCUGGCAUGGUGGUACCCUUGAGAGCGUGGCCUAGAGGGCUCCGAGGUGCAGCCUGGCCAGUGUGGUCUGGAGGGGUCUGGCAAGCGCUAUCUGGAGCACUCAGAGGUGUGGCCUGUUUUUCCGGGUGGGUCUAGUGAGU